rnacentral:rRNA from 1 species
AGAAUCAACGCUGGCGGCGUGCCUCAGACAUGCAAGUCGAACGCGAAAGUCCCCUUCGGGGGACAAGUAGAGUGGCGCACGGGUGAGUAACACGUAGGUAAUCUACCUUCGGAUGGGGAAUAACAAUCGGAAACGGUUGCUAAUACCGCAUAAUGCAGCGGCACCUAAUGGUGACAGUUAGUUAAAGCGGGGGAUCGAAAGACCUCGCGUCUGAAGAGGAGCCUGCGGCGGAUUAGCUAGUUGGUAAGGUAAUGGCUUACCAAGCGACGAUCCGUAACCGGCCUGAGAGGGCGGUCGGUCACACGUCGACACUGACACUACGGGUCCAGACUCCGUACGGGAGCAGGCAGGUCGGGUAAUUUU